ACGCUCGACACCUACGGGAGCAGCAGUAGGGAAUCUUCCACAAUGGGCGCAAGCCUGAUGGAGCAACACCGCGUGAGUGAAGAAGGGUUUCGGCUCGUAAAGCUCUGUUGUUGGAGAAGAACGUGCGUGAGAGUAACUGUUCACGCAGUGACGGUAUCCAACCAGAAAGUCACGGCUAACUACGUGCCAGCAGCCGACGGUAAUCUGAGGCGGGCGUGGCAAGGC
rnacentral:rRNA from 1 species